CAUCAGCCACAGAAGGACUCCCUGCAACGUGUAUCAAACCCAAAGGUAGGAUGAAGAAUAUGAUAAAACAUACCUAUUUCUCCUUCCACUGAAAGAUGGAGCUGAGGAAGAUCUAAGAUAUCUUACACUGUCUGGUCAAAAAGUAGGCAGACAGAACACAACUGAUAAAUAAUAGAAAGAAAUCUGCACAACUUUCAGAUGUUCACAGAAAUGUUCCUGGAGGUCCAAGGAAGGAUUGUUAUGACCUGGAUGCAAAGAUGCUCAGGAAAACAAGGUUAAAUAGAAAAGGGUAUGAAGUUGAUAUUCUUCUAUUGUUUUCAAAUCUAGUGGUAAAUUAAAGUACCUUAGAUUAAGUCAUUUUCAUUCUGUGGUAUAUAGUGGUUGAACACAAAUUCAGUUAUGUGCGUUGACAUUGCAGCUCAAGUUGAUCGCUUUCAUAUUUCCUGCAUGUCCCAAAGAUGGUGUAUCCCUCUCAAGAGUGAUAUGGAUACACCUAAGAUCUCUCUGCCUGUCCUAGUCACAGUUAUAGAAGUGGGAAAGUAUGAUGGACAAGGACAAUGACUGAAUGUAAGCCAGUGUGAGUCUAGAUGUAGUUUAACUUUUAUCUUGGCAUGGUGUCCAUGCCAUCUGUAGCACAAGAGCUUUUAAUAGCUUAAUGGUACCAUUGUGUCAAGAACUUUCUAGGAAGAUACUAACUUGAUUGACCCAAUUUUUAUGUCUAAAUUCACCCUUUACUGCCACACAGAGCCCUUCAAUUUUCCAUAGUCUGUCCUCAAUCAAGUACAGUUCUUUUCUCAUCCUUGUUGUUUGAAAAACAACUUCACAGCACUUAUGAUUUGAAACUUAUAUAAGUAUUUUAGCUUUUACUCUCAUUUUUAUGUAUGAAUAUAUGCAUUUAUUUAUUUUAAAUAGCCCUUUGCCAGGUUUCCAUUCUUGCCAUAGAAUGGAUUCUUCUUUAUCCAUGUAAUUCAAAUAGCCCUUGUUAUUUCCAUUCUAGCUUAAGAUAAUUUCUGUGAAUACAGAUUACUGGAACUAUGUAAAAUAUUAUACCCUAGCUUAUACUGAUGCCUUGUAUAAUGUAGGAGGCAGAAACAUUUCCUUGUAUUCAGUGAAAAUGAUAAGAGACUGGACUUCUUUUUGCCUCUUUCUACUGUCAUGUCGCACUGGCAAGCUCUCUGUCAUCCUUUGGUUGGCUAUUUUAUCCUGUUUCAUAUUGUUUCUCUUUUGCCUCUAGCUGACAAACAUCCACUUUUUAGAAAAUGCUUUUGUCAGCAGUUGCUUGUGUGCUUUGUACCAUGCAAAUCCAUUGCUGCUACUCUAUCUUAGAGGUGUUAGAGGUCAUGCUUUCUGUAUAGAUAAUCAUCAGUAUCUUCAUUUGACAGUCAGCUAGAAUCUCAGACACCUUGUUCUCUCACUAAUGACAAGUGAGAGAUCAGUCCCUAAGACUGAUAGGUAAGCAAUGUCACUGAUGAAAUUGUCAUCUUGGGGACUUCCUUUUCAAUGUGUGCACACUUUAGCCUUCUGCUUAGUUUUUGCCUUGUCUAUCUUCAUGUUCAUAUAUUAACAGCCUUCCUGUGCUCCUUAAACAAUAAUUUCCUGUGUGGUAAAGUACUAAGUGAUUUGCCAUAAUCUAUACUCUUAGAAACAUGACAUUUACUCUUAUCUUACAAGAAAGUUAUCUUGUUGAAUGGAAAUUGUGCCAGACUGAUCUAAUAUGCACUUCUGAUAAAGAAAACUACAUUACAAUUUUGCUCUCUUUCCAUUGUCCUCCAUAGCUUGUUGUUCUUGACUUUGAAAAUCUGUGCCAAGGGCUUCUGUAGGAGUGAUCAAACUGAUGGGAAUGCAGCCACCUAGAUCACUUCAUCAAUUCUUUCCCAAAAAAGAAUUUCUGUGAUUAGAUAUACUAUCUCCAAUCAGAGGGCAGGGUCUCUCAUCUUCGCUCCACACAUUCCCAAACUGAUAAAGUAAUUAAAAAUGUCUGCUACUAAACUUACAUUUUCAGGUGUAAUUAUUUAAGUGUUUUAUCUGAUCCCUUUUUCCCUCCCUCUCCUUCUUCCUUUCUUUCACCACAGUCCACAGCUUGAACUCUGCUGUUACUUUGAAUAUGGUAAUGGAAUUACCAUUCCUACUUUUAUUCCUGAUUAAGUACCCUGUUAUUACCCUCAUAAUCUUCAUUUCUACUGAGAACUAAAGUAUUAAUUUAGUAUAUAAGACAUCUCCUUAUUCACUGUUAAUCAUUCUUCUCUUCUCAGUCUGUCUUUUUUAACUUGUUCCUCUCUUUUGUAGCUGAUGAAUACAUCAUAAUCAUUUGUUUUUAUUUUCCUUCUAAACUAAAGCUUGAUUAGACUAACUAAAUUCAUUUCUUUUCUUCUAACCUACCAAACAGAGCCCUCUUAGCUUAUUGCACUCUCUUUGUGCUCCAACUCUGUUUGUCCUUUUAACAUCCUGUCUGAUGCUUUUAUUCAUUUUAGUAGAUAUGAAGCCCAUUCCUUGAAAUCUUUUUCUCCUUGCUUGUACAUCUAUCUCUGGGUAGCAAUGACACUCGUAAUUCUGAUUUUACUCAAACCCAUAAGCUGCUCUUCCUAGUAAAUCUCACCACUUUGUACCCAGUUUCUCAACAUUUCUUCCUUUAAACUGUAAAUCUGGUUUUGUAUGUCUAUAACCCAAAGUGAUUUGAUUCAGUCACUUCAAUCCAGUGUUAUCUUCUACAAACAGGUCUUUUAUAAGGUACUCGUUGCUUUCCAAAAUAAAGUUCAGUAUGAAAUCCUGUUAGCUCAUUGUGGUGAGUUGACUCCAGCCAGCAGCUAAGUAUCCACCCACUCACCGUUAUAUACUAUCAAAUAUCCCUUUGGCCAUUUUGUGUCAGCUGUACUGAUGGUGUCCCCUCCCAGCCUCUUGCCCAUCUCUUGCCCUACUCACAGGUGCAGAGCAGGAAAAACAAAACCUUGAUGCUGUGCAAGCCCUGCUUGUCAAUAGGCAAAACAUUAGUGUGUUACCAACAUUGGUUUGGACACAAAGCCAAAACAAAACCAUAUGGCUGUUAUGAAAAAAAUCAAGUCUAUCCCAGUGAGAACCAUUAUAUUCAUUAACAGAGAAAUCAAUCAGCUGUCACAUUCAAAAUUUGUGAUCAUAGUAUGUUCAUGGGUUUUUUUAGAAUUUCCAAUAAACCAGAUCUGUCUGUUAUAUGAUACUCUUGACCUCUGGUUUUGUAAGUUACAUGUUCUGUAUGGAUAAUGAAGAAGAAAACAAAUGAUUAAAACCCUAAAUGCCCCAAAUCCCAAGGUAGAUGUUAAAAAUUAAUGUCUAGAGAGUUUUUAAUAAGUCAGUUUUCAAACUCAUCUCAUGUUGUAGGCCCUUGAAUUUUAGACAUAUGACAUCGUACAGGCGUUAAUUUAACUCUCUGUCAUUGCAUGUUUUAUUUUUUUUAAGGAAAUGUCAUGGAGCAAUCUGUACAAGACUUGGACAGCAGCUCCUCCUUUUGAUUCUUCAACUAUAGCAGGGUAAUCCAUAUGCAAAUGAAAUAAUAAACAAAAAACCUUCUAUGCCAUGGAAACAUAUUAAAGUAAGUCUUCAGAGAGUCAUGUUCUACUGCUGGAGAAAACAGCCCUGAGUCAGCACUCCCUCCUCUCCUUUCCCCCCAUCUCCCCUCCCUUCUUCAUGCUGGCAGGAAAUGAAAACUAUUUCAGUAAGUUAUAAAAAAUGUGUAGAAUCCAUGUGAUCAUUUCAGUCGUGCUGUAUACCAGCAAUGAACCUUAUUGAUAGCAUUACCAGACAUUUCCUAAGCUAUUCAAAAAUUAUCACCUGUCUUCCCCACUUUCAACCUGAGGAGACUUUAGAAGGUGCUAGGCUUUAUAAACAAACAAAUAAAUAAAUGGAUAAAUAAAUAAAUAAAUAAAUAAAUAAAGACUGCACUUUCCAGAAGGACAAGUUUGUCUGGUUUGCUUCUCUAAGAGUUCCCCACUAGGUUAACUUAUGUGCUCCCUUAUGUUGCUUUUCUGUUAGUCUUUCUGCAUCCCAGAAGGCAGGAGAGUAAAGCAGAUAGCAUCUGCUUUUGACUGGCCAAAUUGAGAGGCAACAUAUAAGUAGAUGCAAGAUCUGUAUCAGUGAGUGGAUGCAAGGCUUAGGGAUUCUCACCCAACUCAAGCAAGUUUAAGCUAGUUUAAUUUAAAUGCUGAGUGUGGCAGAAGAAGGUGCUAUAACAGGUAAGAUUCCCUGGGACUAACUGAGGCCUGAUCCAAAAUUCAAAGGCUUAACGGCCUUUGAAGCGGAUCUUGGAUUCCCACUUGAAUCUAGUGAUGUGGUUAACUGCCAAAACUGGAAUGCUAUCAUUGCUGACCAAUAUUUUCAGAUGUGGUCAAGUAAAUAGCUUGAUUUCUAGAAGCGUUCAGUACUCUUUGCCCCUAAAGACUUAGCGAAUAUACGUACGCUGUUCCAGGUUAGCACUCAAGCUUUAAAAUUCACACUGCAUGCUGUGUUCUGCUACAACCAAGCAAUUCUCAAGUAUAUGAAUGAAUUUUAUACAGAAGAUUUAUAUGCACAGUAAUUCAUUCAAACAUUUUUUGUUUCCUCUUUUUGUAUUCUCCUCUCCCUGGCACAUUAUUUGUUUUGGAGGUUAAAGAUUUUUAAGCACAGGUGAAGACUAGCAUAGAUGACAGAACUGACAGCUUUACAUGUCUCUACCAAGAUAUCACAGUCUUGUGAUAACAGUCAAGUUCCACUGCCCAUUUUACCUGGAGCCGUUCCUGAGAUUUUCAACAAGGUUGCCAAUUAGAAGCAAUUGUGACAUUUUGUUAGUGUGUGAUACAAGACCUGCUGACUAGGAGUUGCUGAAACCACCAGCUCAUUUCACAAUAUUUAAACAGUAAAUUACCAUACCUAGCAUUUUUGUCAGCAAGCUGAAGGAUUGAUUGAUUGGGUGUGUACAUCCUGCAGAGUGAUUAUUGUCAGCCAUAAAUGUUAUGGGGUGAAUGCUGCUUUUAAUUUACAAGGAUGUCAAGAUACUUAUAGACAAAGUGUUCAGGUAAGACUGGCUGUGCUCACGUUGAGUGAUCCACUUGUACUCUCUCAGACCUCCUGUGUACAAUGAUUAAUGUGGGGAAAAAAAAGGCAUGACAGGAAAGGAGUGGAAUAAAAAAUGAAGAAGAGUGCUGGCAGGAACAAAAGUGAGGAUGAAAAACUCUGAAAGCUGACUUGUACUCUGCAUGAAAAACUUUUUUCCCUUUUUUGCACCUAUGAAAAUGCAAGAAGAUGGCAACAAUGCUACAUGGUGGAGGGUUAGUACCCAUGGAACAGAAGGUAGUCUUAGGGGAAGCAGAUAAGAGUAUCAAAGUAUAUGUCGGAGUAGACCAUUCCCCAAAUCCCUUGGUACUGAGCUCUCACACUGCUGACGGCAUAUACACAUUAAAAUCACCUAAUAUACUGCAUGUAUUAUAUUGCUGAUGCAGCAAAAUAGAGUCUACCAUUUGGAGAGUUUUUCUCAGUCAUUUGCUUUGUGUCACUCUGCCAGUGGCCUGAUUGCUGACCAAAACCCAUCAUCCUUAAGGACAUUUUUAAUAUUGACAGCUUCUUCUCCUCAGUACACCUCUAGAUGAAAGCGGCAAGCAUGUACAUUCCUUUUUACUGUGUUGUUUGCUUUUUUGUUCUCUCCUCCUAGGCCAAUAACUCUCAAUAAAGAUCCCACGCUUCACCCUGGUUUUUUCUCUCUUUUUCUUAGCCAUGCUGAAAUGAGAACUUUUAAAACCUAUUUUUACCAUAUUUAUCCUAAAAAUAUGCUCAUCUUUUGCCACACGUUAGUAAGAAUUGCUUGAUUUUGCAAGUCUUCACAUCUGAAAACAUGCCACCUCUAGUUCCUUCUAUGUUUUGCUUAUUUCAAUAUAAAUGACACAAUGUCCUCUACAAUGCAUUGCAUCUUCCCCACAAUUUUCCUACUCUAUUCUCACUUCUCUGCAUUUUUUUGGUGGCUCAUAUUAUUUGCUACAGGAGAUUCACCACAGCCACAACAUCCUUCUGAAGCAAACUGAGAUCACAGCACUGCACUUGAAACACUAGAGGUUGCUAAAGCUUGUGUUUGUUCAUUGGGUUUUCUCAAGUGAAACAAACAGUAAGAUGGUAGAUCUUACUGAAUUUAAGUCAUGGAAGGAAAAUUCCUCUUACUCUCAACUACCUAAAGUCCUUCUAGAUAAUUCUUUCUCAGAAUUCUCCUGCUCCCUGACUGUUAACAAAAGGCACAAGAAAAAAUCCUGUUCCAGUGUGUAAAAGACAUCUAUGAUAAAUACAGGAUAUUUGGGAUACAGAAAACUGAGGAUAAAUACAGGAUCAAGGAUUUAAUCUUUAGGGUCUGUUUACACUUUGUCAGACAUGAAAGUUUCUGACUUAAGAAUAGUGGAUGGCCCUGUUUUAAAAUAUCUGUUAUAAGAAUACAGCCUGGCAAAGGGAGACUGUGCUCAAGCACUAGCCAUGGCUAUGAUAAUCAAUUUUCACAACACUGUGAGAAACCUGACUGGUAUAGUGUUGUUCUUAAGUAUCACAGGUUAUGGAGUCAAGUCAUUAUGAAGGAACUCAUAUUAUUUUCUCUUGGAAAAAAGAUUGCUUAGCUGAAAAUAUUGUGAGACACGCAUCUGCCAUGCCCCUCAAAAUGAAAAACAAAUAGAGAGAUGCCCAGAUGGGUUAUUUUUAGUAACUGCAUGGUUUCAUAGGCUUAAUUUAUAAGUAGUGAACAGUUGGGACCGCCAAUCUGUGAAUGGUCUUUGGAGGAACUGCUUGGGCUCCUUUCCAAACUCUCUUCCUGAGGGGGGUAGGGAGUUUGUAAUGAACUCUCCCUGACAUCUGGGCUGGGGGAAGCUAACAGACUGCCUUUGUUCUCAGUAAUUCCAGUGGUUUGCAGUAGAGUUCAAUGCCCCCCAGAAUGUUCUUGUUUCAGGAAGGGAAAGCAAAACCAUGAGAAGUGAUUCUGAAUCUGAUAGCAAAAGCUGCCCCCUGCUUCCAGGAGGAUACAAAAGCAGGGGAAUGACAGGGCCAGCUGGCUGGACAGGGACUCCAGUGUGGCGGGCAGGAUGUGAUCCCAUGUGAUGGCAUCAGAUUAGGAGGUUGCCUAACUUGUGUGAGCACAUCGCAUAGCUUCUGAGCAAUAGGAGGUCCUAUAUUUAGAGAAGGAGAAUAAUAGACAAGAUAUGGUGCCUGAUUCUCCUUAAAACUCUAGUCUACUUGCAUACGUGAACAGACUCCCAUUGAUUUCAAUGGCUAAGACUCCUCCAUUUCAUCCCCAGUAGCAUGGCAGACUUUACAAUGCUAAUGGAAGCGAAGUUUACCCAAGUAAAAAGCAUGUAGUUUUGUUCUAUGUGCAACUGAUGCUUUUAAAAUAGCAGAAAAAAUAGCAACUGUGUCAGCUCUCCUCUUCCUGCAAGGGCUUGUUAACGCAUUGUAAGCCUUUUCUGCUUUACUUACUAAGACAUUGCUGAACUUUUUCAACAAAAUUAAUUUUAUAAAUAAACUUCGUUACUAUGGUUGGUCAGAGUUGAGUCUCUGGUCAAAGACUAAAGCAAAGCCCUUUUGAUGAGUUAGUCAUUCUUUGCACUUUAAGCCUACGUAUUUGGAGAAAGAAAAGUUGAAAGCAUCUUGGGUUGAGCCCAACUUCUUGUGUUACAAGAGCUAUGAAGAGCAGCGCAAGAUUAUUUACAGUGCAAAUGAAAAUCAAUUUGUGCCUGUUCCUUGGCUGGUAUGUGAAACAGACCCUGUUUUGUAAUACUGCUGAUCUCUGUGUAGUCAUAGAACAGAGAUUCACUUGCUUCUUAUCUCCGAUAAUUAACUGCUACAAAUGUCAGGCAAUUAUGCUGAAUGAGUGUGCUGCACCUUCAUUAGUCUUCUUCUUUUGUCCGAGUUGCCAAUUUUGAAAGCUGCCCAGCUACCGAAACUCCACUUAAAGUACCUAAGAUCAGAAACAAGCCCAGGGCAGUAACAUAGUAUGAUACUAGAAUAAAUAAAGCAUUCGUUGACUCAUGACCCAUCUAGAUCAGAAGCCCUCAAGGAUGUUUUAUGCUAAAAUAAAUAAAUAGAUCUCUGAAGUUAACUGAUGGCUCCAUGCAGAGCAGGCUCAACACUUAGUGUAAUAUUUGCCUCAACAGCAAAAAAGCAGGCAGAGAGCUGCCCUGCAGCUCUGCUGUUCCAGACAGAGGAGAAUUCAAGCAGGACUAUGCCUCCUCCCUACCACCUGCUCUCUCCACCUUCUCUGAAGAAGACAUGUCAGCACAGGGCAGAAAGCACAGCCUUCGGCUUCUUUGAAUUAUACAGAUGGCUAAACAGUCCCCAGCUAGCCCAGGAUUAGAGGGGUGGACUUAAGCUGCUUAAAGCCACCUUUCUCACUGCUUAACAAAUGUUUUUAAAUUGUGCAGAAGGCAAAAAAAUAUGAUAGAGAAUCUGUCCUUAAACACGGCUUGGGAUUCUUUCUCUCACUCCUUAUGUCAUGAUGUACCUUCUAUGACCUGGCUGACAAGGAAAUCUGGUGCUACUCUAGUCUUAAUAUCUUCCCUUGUUAAGGUUUUAACUACUCUUCACUUCAUGCAACACUGCAUAUAAAGAGACUGAGCCCAACAUUCAAGUAUUUAUUUUAAUUUAACAAGAGAUAAGAUUGUGGUCACUUUUGGGCACAGUUCAUGCCUUCUUAAUUUGGAAGACAACAAGCAUAGGCUACGUACAUCUGAAGCAAACAAUGACAAGCCAUUAUUGUCAAAUGUAGCUACAAUAAAGUGGACUUGUUUAUCUUGAAGUUCCCCACACUCAUACAUUUUCCAUGUUGAAGACUUGAUGUAAACACUACAUUUCAGUGAUGGAGGACCAGUCUCUCCGAGACAAGAAAUCACAUUUCUAGACAUUGAUUUCUGAACUAUGGUAUAAGAUGUCUCACUUGAAGUCCUUCAGGGGUGUACUAUCUGCAAAACUUUUCCUAUGGUGGCCAUAAGGAAAGUGCAAUGAUUUUAGCAUUUCGGAAUAGUUUCACCCACUUUGAUACUGGUAAGUAUGUGAACUCAACUUUUUAGACUAUGGUGAAUUACUGAUGAAGUAAUAUUGAGAGAUCCUUAUGUUGGAUUAUGUUGCAAAAAAUGCAAACAGAAAAUGCAGUACAGAGCCACGAUUGUGGUUUAAAAUUAAAAAUUCUGAAUCUGCUAUUUGGAGUCCAGAAGAAUUUAUUUCCGAGUGGGCAUGGCACUUCUUCAUCACUCUGUGAGUGAGCAUUUAUCUCAUGAUUUCCAAUAUGAUCUAGUCUUUUUAAUUUUAUUGCUAUAAGAUCACUGUCCUUGGAUGUCAUUGCCUUCUGCCUUCCCUGAUGUACAGGCUUGGGACAAUAUACUUUCUGUUUGAUCUGAUCACUCUUUCACCUUGGAUCUUUCUUUCUCUGUAUGCAGAUCUCCACAAAAUCUGAAAAAUUUUCUCAUUUAAGUUAGCACAGCAUCCCUGAUCAGUCGGAACUGGCCCUAAAGUGAUUUUUUUAGCAUUUUCUUCAGACACUGUUUGCCAUGAUCUCAGCUGGUCUACACAGAGACACUGGACUUGCUCAGAUUCUGAAAAAAGCAUCCAUGUAGGGGAACUCAGUGAAAAAGGGCAAUUCGACCUAUCACAGACUCUUUACCAAGCACAGAGGAAAGAGUAAGAAUCUGAGAUCAGUCUAGAGUGCAGUGGGCAGUGCCCUCUGCCUCCCAGGGAGGCUGGCUACAGCCUGAGCUGGGAGAUUUCAGAGAGCAGGUGGAUUCCUGGGUAGUAUCUGAGACUUUGUUUUGUGUGAUGACAAUACACUCCUCCUGAAAAAGUGGAAAGCAUAAGAACAAUGGUCAGACCACUGCAUCUGAGUGGGCCAAAGUCAGAAAGUAAUGUGUGACAAGUGAUUUUAUGGGAACAAACAAUUCUUGAAUUGCUGGAAACUGCUCCAAUUUGUGGAUCUGUUUCUCAAAUUCAUCCAAAAAGACUGACAUGUGUGGCCAAUCUCAUCAUGCCAGUAGGCCCUGUCUCCACAUACCUCUAUUCUCUGGAAUGUGAUGCACCUUCCAAAUUCAUACUUGGACCGGAUGGUAGCAAUUUUCAGAAUGCAGAUGCUGGCACUGAUGAUGCUACUCCAAAGAAGUUUUAGUGAAAAGGGAAAUUACCUUUGUCCAUCUCCUUGGCAACUUCCAGAAAACAGAUAAGCAUGAAUCAUGCUUCUAAUCUCAACCGUUGCAUUAGGGAUUAAAGAACUAGACAUGGGAAAGGAAAAUAGCACCCCAUUUAUGUUGUAACUGCACAAGUCCAUGACUCCACUGCAUCCACAAAUAUAAUGUGCAAUAAAAGCAUUGGACUGUGCUUGUUUGGGGGUCCCUUGGCUUGAAGGGGAAGUUUCUCUGACUGGAAAUGGGAUGGAUUGGUUUCUCAUUACACAGCAGAAUAUUAGUCUGCAAAGUAUGACCACCCUCAGUUGACCAAAUCACCAUCCCACGGAGCACAUGUACACAUCCUGUCAUCUCCAGUCACCUGCCUUCUCCACAUUGCAAAUUCUUAUUGGCCAGGCACAUUGACAGCUCCCAGUAACCUUUUAAAACCAGAAAGCAAUCUACCAUGGGAAUCAUCCUGCCAAGGUUCCAGGAUUAGCAUUCCUAUGCAUAAACAGAAGCAGCAAACAAAAUAAAUGAACUAAAGUGCACACAAUACACUCCGAAAUAUGGGACAUUAGUCCCUUGACAAAUGCCGGUUUGAACACAAAAUGUCAUGCUAAUUUGGGAAUAGUAUAACUGCAGGUUCAUAUGAAAUCUCAGUCAAACUUGCACUGCCACAGACAACAGACAUACUAAAGGUCAUGGAGCCACAGUCUCAUUGUCAGUUCUUCUUUGGAAUGUCAGUAAUAUUCAAGUAGCUAUGGACAAAGCCUUCAAGGCCUGUUUGGUACCAGAUAAAAUAAAAUAUCCAGACCCUACAACUCCUGCUUCCUGGCAGUUCUCUUCUUUCCACAGCAGUCUCUCCCACUCCUUCCUAUACCACCUUGCCUUUCUCAUUCUCCCAGUACUUAAGUAAACAGCAGCAAAGACCUUGAGCAAGAGCUAACUGCCAACAUGUGGCACAGACAUAGUCAAAGGAGGCUCUGUAAGGUCCCUAAGCAGACCACAAGAGAACUGUGCUGACAAAAUCCUCUUGAGAUUUCCAUGGAUCCUUUUAACACAGUUUAGGCACUCGUAAGUGCUUUUAAGGAAUUUUAACUUAUAUGGAUAAAAAUAGCACCUUUCUGGGCAGUGAAUCUGUUGAGAACUGGUAUUUGAGAACAGAUCUGCCUUCAAGGUAGCAUUCCUCAAGCUGUACGAAUUCUUUAUCUAGACGGGUAAAAAGCAUUGAGGGGUAAAAAACUGCUCAUUUUGAGUAAGUUUUUAUACAAAGUUGAGAAGCAGAAAAAUUAGUUCAUAUGUCCUCAUAACUGAUGUUUUCUAUGCAAUUCAAAGCAGUGCAGUCCUCCAAAAAAAUCCUUUGAAAGAAUUUUUAUAAAGCCUCUGUGGUCUUUACUCCACAUAACAGACCAGAAAACACUAUAAUAAAAUUGGAUUACCAUGAAUAUCCAGUCUCAAGGUAGGCGACCUGUUCCCAUGUGUUCGCUCCAAUACCUGUGCCCCAAGAGCCUAUGAAGUAGCAUGUCCAAAUUCAGGCCUGUGCACCAAAAAAAAUCUUCACCUUGAAAAAAAAUAUAUACAACUUCCACUAUGCACUUUCAUGCAUGCCAAGGCAAGUUGGAGAGAUUGUAAUGUGCUCUAAUAGGCACUCCCUGAAACUGCUACAUGCUUUGUCUUCAGCCAAGGAGCAUUCAGAAAAUGUGGCAUUUGUUUCCUCCCCUGGAAAACAAUAGAAUAUCAGAGAACUUGCUCUCCAUCUGAUCCUCCUAAUAUCAGUAAUCUGCUGGUUUGACAUCAUAAGAAGAGUGAGCACAGGGAUCUUUGUCAAAGAGACAAGCAUAUCCCCACUAGGAGGAGUGCAGCUUGCAAGUCGGCACAAUGCCCACGGUGCAGAGCAGAGAGGGGCGGGAUGAGCACUGUGCUCAGGUAUGGACAUUGAAAGCUGGAAUGCUGCAUGGAGCAGGUGGGCCCCUGGGAGCUUUAAAGUGACUGGGAGGAAGGGGCUGACAGAAGAUUGUUGGGAGGAUUUUUUUUUUACCUGAUUUUUUUUUUUGUUUGGUUUUGGUUUGUGGGUUGGGGUUUUUUUUAUUAUUUUAUUUUGUUUGGUUUGGUUUUGGGGUUUUGGGGGCUCUUGGGGGGGUUUGUUUGUUUGCUUGAUUGUUGUUGUUUGCCCUUCUCCAUGGUAGCUGGGCAACAGAGAGAAAGAUGCAAAUUUGGGAGUGUGUGUGAAGGGUGAGAAUGGAACAGAUAAAGAACAGGCUUCUGCCUCAGGUAGGAAAGGUGUUGGCACCCUGGGAAAUAUGAGAGAAGUGUAAACAAAAGGCACAGUUGUGCAAAGCCUUGGAACUUAAACAAGCAUCAUCUUUGAUGCCCCAGGUAAGUGAAAACUAGUUCAAGUUCUUAGUGCAAUAAUACCUUGCUCAUAUUAUGCAUGCUGGCCCUAUCUUGCAGUCAUACCCAGAUAGGCACUGUGCCCUUUUGCUUUUGGGAAGUCCAUGAAUAAAUAUGGAGGAAUCUACAUCUGGAGCAUCUAUAUAUGCAAAUGACUGCUCGCUCACAAUUCCCGUUAGAGAACUCUGGUCAUCAUUAACUAAGCAAGCAUUGGCAGGCUCAUCAGCUAGAAGGAGGACAAUGUUUUUCACAUUGUGUUAUGUCACAAAAGGAGCAUAUUUCUCCAAAAUUGCUCUCUAUAUUUCUUAGCAAAAGAAUGCUUUUGAAAAAUAUACCAACAAAGCUACAAGCUUGUUAAAUAUUACGUUUAAACAAUUUACUGUCUUGCAUGAAAUCUGCUUUUUUGUCCUUAGCUACCUUAAUGACGAGUUCUUCAAACAGCCAAUGCAGUGAUUAUUCAGUGUUGUCUACAUAGCUGUAGUUAGAGCUUAAAAAACAGUAACUCCUUUCAUUCUCAUGUUUUUAACUGAAAUUUUGUCUCUCAGGAAAAGCUGAAAAUAAUGUUCAGAAAAUGUCAUGAAGAAUUAAACACUUGCUAAACUCUUCUCUGGAUCCCACAUUUAUUUGGGCAAUAACACUACCAAUUUCAGUUAAAAAGCCAUUAUUUACUCUAAAUCUGGCUUAUUCCAAGCAAUUUAGCAUGGAGCAGAAACAUUGGGACACCUUGAAAGCAGCCAUAAAUUUAAAUUUGCAUCUAGGAGAGAGAUGCCUUGUCAGUACAGAACUUUCUGGAAGCUGCUUUUUUAGAGCCUUUAGUUCUUACUGUUUAUAGACUACAUUAGGCAUUCAUUCAACAAGGUCCUCAAGGAACAAAAAAAUGCAUUUUAGUUAUAUGUAGCUUGCCCAUGUGAUAUUUUGAACUAGUACAACAAUGAGUCUCUGGUAGAGAAGUUGGUUAAGAUGUGGAGAGGGUUUCAUUUAUUAAGAGAUAAAGAAAAAUAAAGCAUUUUCAACCUUUUGGAAAAAAACCCUUUAAGAGCUCAGUAAUUGCAAACUCUGCAAACUCCAGGGUUAUCGAAAAUACAAAGCUGUUAUUUCUAAAAGUAUUGAGGAAAAAUUCAAUGGGCAGAGCAUAUACUUGCUGUUCUACUAGGAAGCUUAGACCCAAGUAAAUGAGCCUUGGGAAAGGCACAGCAAAAUA